ACCGAAACAAAUGCGACCUGACAAUUCGUUUAAACUGCAUAGCAGUACUACACACACACACACACACACACACACACACACACACACACACACAAACACACACUCGCACAUUCGCGCACACAGACACACGCGGCUAUCGCGUAUACCUACCUCUCCGUCGUAGUUCGGCCGGGCGGUAAUUUUUGUAUUCAAAUUUGUUUGGGCUGG